GUGACAAUCAGCAUGUUGUGAGGCACCUUCCCUGCCUGGUGUGAGGACUCCUUCUAAGACUCCAGCAUGGGGAGGAGACCACAGGACAGUUUCAUUGUUUUGGCUGUAAUUUGAGAGCUCUGUAGACAUAAUAAAUACCCCACACAUAACCAACAACUGAGGCUUUAACCUGGCACUUAUGAGAUCCACUCAGUGAAAAGAAUGAAGCAAAGGCCUGAAUAAUUUCAACUGACUGAAUAAAAGGUGGAAUCAGGAAUGAAAACUGCAUUAUUUGACAUGUCUCUUUGAUGAAUAAAGUC